UCCGAAUUGGUGUAGUGGCUAACAUUUGACGCUCUCAUGGCAUACUGUCCUAAGGUCCGUCAAGCCCGGGGUUCGAUUCCCCGAUUCGGAG
rnacentral:tRNA from 1 species